GACGAACGCUGGCGGCGUGCCUAAUACAUGCAAGUCGAACGCUGAAGGAGGAGCUUGCUCUUCUGGAUGAGUUGCGAACGGGUGAGUAACGCGUAGGUAACCUGCCUGGUAGCGGGGGAUAACUAUUGGAAACGAUAGCUAAUACCGCAUAAGAGUAGAUGUUGCAUGACAUUUGCUUAAAAGGUGCAAUUGCAUCACUACCAGAUGGACCUGCGUUGUAUUAGCUAGUUGGUGGGGUAACGGCUCACCAAGGCGACGAUACAUAGCCGACCUGAGAGGGUGAUCGGCCACACUGGGACUGAGACACGGCCCAGACUCCUACGGGAGGCAGCAGUAGGGAAUCUUCGGCAAUGGACGGAAGUCUGACCGAGCAACGCCGCGGGAGUGAAGAAGGUUUUCGGAUCGUAAAGCUCUGUUGUAAGAGAAGAACGAGUGUGAGAGUGGAAAGUUCACACUGUGACGGUAUCUUACCAGAAAGGGACGGCUAACUACGUG
rnacentral:rRNA from 1 species